UUAGAGUUUGAUCCUGGCUCAGGAUGAACGCUAGCGGGAGGCCUUUCCUUGCACUCCGAGCGGUAUUGUUUCUUCGGUGUGAGAGAGCGGCGUACGGGUGCGUAACACGUGUGCAACCUGCCUGUAUCUGGGGGAUAGCCUUUCGAAAGGAAGAUUAUUACUCCAUAACAUAUUGAACGGCAUCGUUUAAUAUUGAAAGCUCCGGCGGAUAGACAUGGGCACGCGCAAAAUUAGCUAGUUGGCGAGGUAACGGCUCACCCCCGCGAUGAUCUUAAGGGGGCCUGAGAGGGUGAUCCCCCACACUGGUACUGAGACACGGACCAGACUCCUACGGGAGGNAGCAGUGAGGAAUAUUGGUUUUGGGUGCCAGCCUGAACCAGCCAUCCCGCGUGAAGGACGACUGCCCUAUGGGUUGUAAACUUCUUUUGUAUAGGGAUAAACCUCCCCUCCAGAGGGUAGCUGAAGGUACUAUACGAAUAAUCACCGGCUAACUCCGUGCCUCCUCCGCGCUAAUACGGAGGGUGCAAGCGUUAUCCGGAUUUAUUGGGUUUAAAGGCUCCGUAUGCGGACUUAUAAGUCUGUGGCGAAACCCCGUCGCUUACCUAUACACCUGCCAUUGAUACUGUUAGUCUUGAGUAUAUUUGAGGCCGCUGGAAUAUGCAGUGCAUCGGCGAAAUGCAUAGACAUUCCUCACAACACCAAUUGCGAAGGCAGGCUACCAAUAUAUCACCUGACGCUGAGUCACGAACGUGUG
rnacentral:rRNA from 1 species